GGGUUGUGAGGUUAAGCGACUAAGCGUACACGGUGGAUGCCCUGGCAGUCAGAGGCGAUGAAGGACGUGCUAAUCUGCGAUAAGCGUCGGUAAGGUGAUAUGAACCGUUAUAACCGGCGAUUUCCGAAUGGGGAAACCCAGUGUGUUUCGACACACUAUCAUUAACUGAAUCCAUAGGUUAAUGAGGCGAACCGGGGGAACUGAAACAUCUAAGUACCCCGAGGAAAAGAAAUCAACCGAGAUUCCCCCAGUAGCGGCGAGCGAACGGGGAGCAGCCCAGAGCCUGAAUCAGUGUGUGUGUUAGUGGAAGCGUCUGGAAAGGCGCGCGAUACAGGGUGACAGCCCCGUACACAAAAAUGCACAUACUGUGAGCUCGAUGAGUAGGGCGGGACACGUGGUAUCCUGUCUGAAUAUGGGGGGACCAUCCUCCAAGGCUAAAUACUCCUGACUGACCGAUAGUGAACCAGUACCGUGAGGGAAAGGCGAAAAGAACCCCGGCGAGGGGAGUGAAAAAGAACCUGAAACCGUGUACGUACAAGCAGUGGGAGCACGCUUCGGCGUGUGACUGCGUACCUUUUGUAUAAUGGGUCAGCGACUUAUAUUCUGUAGCAAGGUUAACCGAAUAGGGGAGCCGAAGGGAAACCGAGUCUUAACUGGGCGUUAAGUUGCAGGGUAUAGACCCGAAACCCGGUGAUCUAGCCAUGGGCAGGUUGAAGGUUGGGUAACACUAACUGGAGGACCGAACCGACUAAUGUUGAAAAAUUAGCGGAUGACUUGUGGCUGGGGGUGAAAGGCCAAUCAAACCGGGAGAUAGCUGGUUCUCCCCGAAAGCUAUUUAGGUAGCGCCUCGUGAAUUCAUCUCCGGGGGUAGAGCACUGUUUCGGCAAGGGGGUCAUCCCGACUUACCAACCCGAUGCAAACUGCGAAUACCGGAGAAUGUUAUCACGGGAGACACACGGCGGGUGCUAACGUCCGUCGUGAAGAGGGAAACAACCCAGACCGCCAGCUAAGGUCCCAAAGUCAUGGUUAAGUGGGAAACGAUGUGGGAAGGCCCAGACAGCCAGGAUGUUGGCUUAGAAGCAGCCAUCAUUUAAAGAAAGCGUAAUAGCUCACUGGUCGAGUCGGCCUGCGCGGAAGAUGUAACGGGGCUAAACCAUGCACCGAAGCUGCGGCAGCGACACUAUGUGUUGUUGGGUAGGGGAGCGUUCUGUAAGCCUGUGAAGGUGUGCUGUGAGGCAUGCUGGAGGUAUCAGAAGUGCGAAUGCUGACAUAAGUAACGAUAAAGCGGGUGAAAAGCCCGCUCGCCGGAAGACCAAGGGUUCCUGUCCAACGUUAAUCGGGGCAGGGUGAGUCGACCCCUAAGGCGAGGCCGAAAGGCGUAGUCGAUGGGAAACAGGUUAAUAUUCCUGUACUUGGUGUUACUGCGAAGGGGGGACGGAGAAGGCUAUGUUGGCCGGGCGACGGUUGUCCCGGUUUAAGCGUGUAGGCUGGUUUUCCAGGCAAAUCCGGAAAAUCAAGGCUGAGGCGUGAUGACGAGGCACUACGGUGCUGAAGCAACAAAUGCCCUGCUUCCAGGAAAAGCCUCUAAGCAUCAGGUAACAUUAAAUCGUACCCCAAACCGACACAGGUGGUCAGGUAGAGAAUACCAAGGCGCUUGAGAGAACUCGGGUGAAGGAACUAGGCAAAAUGGUGCCGUAACUUCGGGAGAAGGCACGCUGAUAUGUAGGUGAAGUCCCUCGCGGAUGGAGCUGAAAUCAGUCGAAGAUACCAGCUGGCUGCAACUGUUUAUUAAAAACACAGCACUGUGCAAACACGAAAGUGGACGUAUACGGUGUGACGCCUGCCCGGUGCCGGAAGGUUAAUUGAUGGGGUUAGCGGUAACGCGAAGCUCUUGAUCGAAGCCCCGGUAAACGGCGGCCGUAACUAUAACGGUCCUAAGGUAGCGAAAUUCCUUGUCGGGUAAGUUCCGACCUGCACGAAUGGCGUAAUGAUGGCCAGGCUGUCUCCACCCGAGACUCAGUGAAAUUGAACUCGCUGUGAAGAUGCAGUGUACCCGCGGCAAGACGGAAAGACCCCGUGAACCUUUACUAUAGCUUGACACUGAACAUUGAGCCUUGAUGUGUAGGAUAGGUGGGAGGCUUUGAAGUGUGGACGCCAGUCUGCAUGGAGCCGACCUUGAAAUACCACCCUUUAAUGUUUGAUGUUCUAACGUUGACCCGUGAUCCGGGUUGCGGACAGUGUCUGGUGGGUAGUUUGACUGGGGCGGUCUCCUCCUAAAGAGUAACGGAGGAGCACGAAGGUUGGCUAAUCCUGGUCGGACAUCAGGAGGUUAGUGCAAUGGCAUAAGCCAGCUUGACUGCGAGCGUGACGGCGCGAGCAGGUGCGAAAGCAGGUCAUAGUGAUCCGGUGGUUCUGAAUGGAAGGGCCAUCGCUCAACGGAUAAAAGGUACUCCGGGGAUAACAGGCUGAUACCGCCCAAGAGUUCAUAUCGACGGCGGUGUUUGGCACCUCGAUGUCGGCUCAUCACAUCCUGGGGCUGAAGUAGGUCCCAAGGGUAUGGCUGUUCGCCAUUUAAAGUGGUACGCGAGCUGGGUUUAGAACGUCGUGAGACAGUUCGGUCCCUAUCUGCCGUGGGCGCUGGAGAACUGAGGGGGGCUGCUCCUAGUACGAGAGGACCGGAGUGGACGCAUCACUGGUGUUCGGGUUGUCAUGCCAAUGGCACUGCCCGGUAGCUAAAUGCGGAAGAGAUAAGUGCUGAAAGCAUCUAAGCACGAAACUUGCCCCGAGAUGAGUUCUCCCUGACUCCUUGAGAGUCCUGAAGGAACGUUGAAGACGACGACGUUGAUAGGCCGGGUGUGUAAGCGCAGCGAUGCGUUGAGCU
rnacentral:rRNA from 1 species